rnacentral:rRNA from 1 species
AUGCAAGUCGAACGGCUUUUCUAUGGAAGCUUGCUUCCAACUGAAAAGGAUACGUGGGCGAAACGGGUGAGUAACACGUGGGGUAACCCUGCCCAUAAGAGGGGGGAUAACAUCCGGAAACGGGUGCUAAUACCGCAUAGUUUUCUUGAUCGCAUGAUCGGGAAAGGAAAGACGGCCUUUGUGCUGUCGCUUAUGGAUGGACCCGCGGCGUAUUAGUUAGUUGGUGAGGUAACGGCUCACCAAGACGAUGAUACGUAGCCGACCUGAGAGGGUGAUCGGCCACAUUGGGACUGAGACACGGCCCAAACUCCUACGGGAGGCAGCAGUAGGGAAUCUUCCGCAAUGGACGAAAGUCUGACGGAGCAACGCCGCGUGAGUGUAAAAGAAGGUUUUCGGAUCGUAAAACUCUGUUGUCAGAGAAGAACAAGUUGGAGAGUAACUGCUCCAGCCUUGACGGUAUCUGACCAGAAAGCCACGGCUAACUACGUGCCAGCCGCGGC